GCAGGACGAGGCUGAGCGCCAGGGACAGCACCUCCAGCGUGCUCAGGUUGGCCUUCCGGCACUGGGGGUCACUGUGGUCGAAGCCACAGGGGGGGACGUCGGAGGGGACGACAUUCCCUGGCCAAUGGAUGUCCCGUCCCGGCACCAUAUGGAGCUCCUUGGUGGUGCCGUUGUAGUUGGCCACCAUCUGGAAGUCCCCGCUCGUGGGGUCCAUGUCCCAUAGGGUGUAGUCG
rnacentral:lncRNA from 1 species